GAGAGUUAGAGAGAGAAAGAGAAAAUACAGAAAGAAAGUUAAAGAGAAAGAAGAGAAAGAGGAAAAAAGGAGAAACAAGAGAAGAAAAGGAAGAGGGACAAGGAGAUUCGAAGACCUAGUGCCCAAAGCCAUCUCAGUGUUCCCGAAGGUUAGCAUGUGGAUGCCUUGUGGGAGCCGCUUCAAGCACAAAGCUGUAUGCCAAGAGUAAGAUGCUUUUAGUGUAACUCGGUUAAUUCCCAAUAUUUGGGAAUUUAAUUUAUGUUUUAUGUAUCUUUUGUAUGUUUUGUAUGACACCUAUUGUUAAGAGCUUUGUACUGUUUUUGUUAUGUAUUAUAAGUUUAAGUUUUUAGUUUUCAUAUAGUUAA